rnacentral:rRNA from 1 species
CGCAUCUGUGCAUGCAGCAUAUCAAUAAGCGGAGGAAAAGAAACUAACAAGGAUUCCCUCAGUAACGGCGAGUGAAGCGGGAAGAGCUCAAAUUUGAAAUCUUGAAAGGUCACCUUUCACGAAUUGUAGUUUAAAGAAGUGUUUUCUGCUACGAUCGUAAUAUAAGUUCUUUGGAAUAGGACAGUCACAGAGGGUGAGAAUCCCGUCUAUGAUUGCGAUUUGUAGCUUUGUGAUACACUUUCAAAGAGUCGGGUUGUUUGGGAAUGCAGCCCAAAACGGGAGGUAAAUUUCUUCUAAGGCUAAAUAUUGGCGAGAGACCGAUAGCGAACAAGUACCGUGAGGGAAAGAUGAAAAGAACUUUGAAAAGAGAGUUAAAUAGUACGUGAAAUUGUCAAAAGGGAAGCGUUUAACACCAGUGUUGUUUUCUGAAAAUCAACCUCUGUUAGCUUUAUGCAUGUUUGUUUAGACCUAAUCAGCUAUCUUGCAUGUUCUAUUGUUUGCAGUGGUGCACUUUUCAGUUUACAGGUCAACAUCAGUUUUUUUUACCGUAAAAAAGUUAAAGAAAGGUAGCUCAUGGCUCCGGUCGUGAGUGUUAUAGUCUUUUUCCUAUGCGGUAGGAGAGACUGUAGGUCUGCAGUGUAGGCUAUUUGGCUAGAUACUCAGGUGCUAUGUGAUACCAUUUCAUAAACAACUUGUUGAUUAUGUUUUGUCUAUUGCAUACUCGCUUGUACUAUCAUACCUACGCUUAGGAUGUUGAAGUCAUCGUAUCGCGC